GUUUCCAUAGUGUAGUGGUUAUAACGUUCCCUAACAUCGAAAAGGUCCCAGUUCGAAACUGGGGAAACA
rnacentral:tRNA from 1 species